AGCCCCGUGCUUGGUGUUGGACGGCCGGUCGAGCGAUCGACCCCUCCUAAAGACAAUGACGGCGGCCUGCGGUUCCCCCGGUACACUGAGCUUUUCACCGAGCACGUACCGGACCAGGCACCCGGGACCCGGUCCUCUCCUUUCACUAGGAAACUUCUAUGGUUGACCUCGGAUCAGGUAGGAAUACGCGCUGAACUUAA
rnacentral:misc_RNA from 1 species